rnacentral:rRNA from 1 species
GAUGAACGCUGGCGGCGUGCCUAAUACAUGCAAGUCGAGCGAACAGAUGAGGAGCUUGCUCCUCUGACGUUAGCGGCGGACGGGUGAGUAACACGUGGAUAACCUACCUAUAAGACUGGGAUAACUUCGGGAAACCGGAGCUAAUACCGGAUAAUAUAUUGAACCGCAUGGUUCAAUAGUGAAAGACGGUUUUGCUGUCACUUAUAGAUGGAUCCGCGCCGCAUUAGCUAGUUGGUAAGGUAACGGCUUACCAAAGCAACGAUGCGUAGACGACCUGAGAGGUUGACUAGCGACAUUUGAUCAGAGACAUGGUCAACAUUCCUAGGGGAGCAAGGAGUAGGGAAUCUGCCGAGUUGGACGCAGGCCUGACCGACAAACGCCGCUUUAGUUACGAAGGUCGUCGGAUCGUAAAACUAUGUUAGCAGGGAGUAAUCACGUUGUAAGUAACUAUGCAAGUCUUGACGGUACCUUAGCAGAAAGACACGGCUAAUUACGGU